GUGGAUUAGAUACCCUGGUAGUCCACGCCCUAAACGAUGAUGACUAGUUGUUGGAGGAGUUAAAUCCUUUAGUAACGCAGCUAACGCGCGAAGUCAUCCGCCUGGGGAGUACGGUCGCAAGAUUAAAACUCAAAGGAAUUGACGGGGGCCCGCACAAGCGGUGGAUGAUGUGGUUUAAUUCGAUGCAACGCGAAAAACCUUACCUACCCUUGACAUGUACGGAAGCCUGCAGAAAUGCAGGGGUGCCCGAAAGGGAGCCGUAACACAGGUGCUGCACGGCCGUCGACAACU
rnacentral:rRNA from 1 species